rnacentral:rRNA from 1 species
UGCAGUCGAACGGAACCUUCGGGUUUAGUGGCGGACGGGUGAGUAACGCGUGAGAAUCUGCCUUCGGGAUGGGGACAACAAUUGGAAACGAUUGCUAAUACCCGAUAUGACGAAAGUUGAAAGAUUUAUCGCCUGGAGAUGAGCUCGCGUCAGAUUAGCUAGAUGGUGUGGUAAAGGCGCACCAUGGCGACGAUCUGUAGCUGGUCUGAGAGGAUGAGCAGCCACACUGGGACUGAGACACGGCCCAGACUCCUACGGGAGGCAGCAGUGGGGAAUUUUCCGCAAUGGGCGCAAGCCUGACGGAGCAAUACCGCGUGAGGGAGGAAGGCUCUUGGGUCGUAAACCUCUUUUCUCAGGGAAGAACACAAUGACGGUACCUGAGGAAUCAGCAUCGGCUAACUCCGUGCCAGCAGCCGCGGUAAUACGGAGGAUGCAAGCGUUAUCCGGAAUGAUUGGGCGUAAAGCGUCCGUAGGUGGUUUUGUAAGUCUGUGGUUAAAGCGUGUAGCUCAACUACAUAACGGCCAUGGAAACUACAAGACUUGAGUGAAGUAGGGGUAGAGGGAAUUCCCAGUGUAGCGGUGAAAUGCGUAGAGAUUGGGAAGAACACCGGUGGCGAAAGCGCUCUACUGGACUUAUACUGACACUGAGGGACGAAAGCUAGGGGAGCGAAAGGGAUUAGAUACCCCUGUAGUCCUAGCCGUAAACGAUGGAUACUAGGUGUUGCCCGUAUCGACCCGGGCAGUGCCGUAGCUAACGCGUUAAGUAUCCCGCCUGGGGAGUACGCACGCAAGUGUGAAACUCAAAGGAAUUGACGG